UUUUUUUUGCGCCGACCUCAGAGCAGGUG
rnacentral:rRNA from 1 species